rnacentral:rRNA from 1 species
UACGGGGGGGGCAAGCGUUGUUCGGAAUUACUGGGCGUAAAGGGCUCGUAGGCGGCCAACUAAGUCGGACGUGAAAUCCCUCAGCUUAACUGGGGAACUGCGUCCGAUACUGGAUGGCUUGGAUUCGGGAGAGGGAUGCGGAAUUCCAGGUGUAGCGGUGAAAUGCGUAGAUAUCUGGAGGAACACCGGUGGCGAAGGCGGCAUCCUGGACCGAUAUUGAUGCUGAGGAGCGAAAGCCAGGGGAGCAAACGGG